CGUUGAAUGACUAACACCAGUCAUCUCAUGGACAUGUAGGCAAUCAAUCAAAUAUAAUUAUUGAACAUUGCCCAAUGAGUGGUGGAUAAUUUUGAUAGAAGGUAAAGGUUAUAUCAAGUUUAUGAAUAUUAGUGUAUGGGAUAAAUGGAUGCAGACUGACCCAUCCCUGUUCCACACAGAGGUUGCAUCAUAGCUGAUGUUGCACUGAUGAUGAGACUGCAUCCUAGUGGUUACCUUAAGAUCAUACAGUGAUAAAGCCCUGCCCUCAUCCUCUUAGGCUGCAUGCAAAGUGUUUGCAUUGGUAUUAGUGGGAUUUGUUGAUGUCAGGAUUUGAAUGAGUGUGUGCCCAUCGCGUCAAGGAGAGCAGGCUGGUCUGUGCUCGUGAGGAAAGCAACAUUGCUACACUGAACUAAAGCGGUCUGAUCAUUCUCCUCCUCAAUUGGCCUUGGCGAUAGAACUCUGAAGUCUUCAGUGUCAUCAUCCGUGGUUACCUCAGGGGACCUU
ensembl:lncRNA